rnacentral:rRNA from 1 species
GACGAACGCUGGCGGCGUGCUUAACACAUGCAAGUCGAACGGUAAGGCCCUUCGGGGUACACGAGUGGCGAACGGGUGAGUAACACGUGGGUGAUCUGCCCUGCACUUCGGGAUAAGCCUGGGAAACUGGGUCUAAUACCGGAUAGGACCACUGCCUGCAUGGGCGGUGGUGGAAAGCUUUUGCGGUGUGGGAUGGGCCCGGGGCCUAUCAACUUGUUGGGGGGGUGAUGGCCUACCAAGGCGACGACGGGUAGCCGGCCUGAGAGGGUGAACGGCCACACUGGGACUGAGAUACGGCCCAGACUCCUACGGGAAGCAGCAGUGGGGAAUAUUGCACAAUGGGCGCAAGCCUGAUGCAGCGACGCCGCGUGAGGGAUGACGGCCUUCGGGUUGUAAACCUCUUUCAGCACCGACGAAGCGCAAGUGACGGUAGGUGCAGAAGAAGGACCGGCCAACUACGUGCCAGCCGCCGCCGUAA